AGUCAAGAUGAGAAUUCUAAGGUGAGCGAGCGAACUCUCGUUAAGGAACUCGGCAAAAUGACCCCGUAACUUCGGGAGAAGGGGUGCUCUUUAGGGUUAACGCCCAGAAGAGCCGCAGUGAAUAGGCCCAAGCGACUGUUUAUCAAAAACACAGGUCUCUGCUAAACCGUAAGGUGAUGUAUAGGGGCUGACGCCUGCCCGGUGCUGGAAGGUUAAGAGGAGUGGUUAGCUUCUGCGAAGCUACGAAUCGAAGCCCCAGUAAACGGCGGCCGUAACUAUAACGGUCCUAAGGUAGCGAAAUUCCUUGUCGGGUAAGUUCCGACCCGCACGAAAGGCGUAACGAUUUGGGCACUGUCUCAACGAGAGACUCGGUGAAAUCAUAGUACCUGUGAAGAUGCAGGUUACCCGCGACAGGACGGAAAGACCCCGUGGAGCUUUACUGUAGCCUGAUAUUGAAAUUCGGCACAGCUUGUACAGGAUAGGUAGGAGCCUUUGAAACGUGAGCGCUAGCUUACGUGGAGGCGCUGGUGGG
rnacentral:rRNA from 1 species